rnacentral:rRNA from 1 species
AUUGAACGCUGGCGGCAGGCUUAACACAUGCAAGUCGCACGAGUGGCGGACGGGUGAGUAAUGCUUGGGAAUCUCGCUUAUGGAGGGGGAUAACUACGGGAAACUGUAGCUAAUACCGCGUACCAUAGGAUGAGCCCAAGUGGGAUUAGGUAGUUGGUGAGGUAAAGGCUCACCAAGCCGACGAUUUCUAGCUGGGCUGAGAGGCUGACCAGCCACAAUGUGACUGAUGUACGGCCCAUACUCCUACGGGAGGUAGCAGUGGGGAAUAUUGCGCAAUGGGGGCAACCUGACGCAGCCAUGCCGCGUGAAUGAAGAAGGCCUUCGGGUUGUAAAGUUCUUUCGGUAGCGAGGCGUUAACUACAGAAGAAGCACCGGCUAACUCCGUGCCAGCCGCCGCGGUAAUUC